GCCAAGCACGGGCCAUCCCUUCAUCUGCAAGGGGCGCCAGUUCACCUCAGCCUUUAAUUAGCCACAGGCCAAAUCCUUCAUCCAGAUCAGGAGUAGCUGACAGGGACCUCAAAUGGAGUAUUUAACACCCAGAAAACUUUGUAACUGGGCCCUUCAGCCACUUGCUCCAGCCCACUCCCACCCUGUGGAGUGCUUUCUCACUUUUUUUUUUUUUUUUUAAUUUAUUGAGAUGGGGUGUUGCUCUGUCACCCAGGCUGGAGUGCAGUGGCUCAAUCUCAGCUCAAUGCAACUUCUGCCGCUCGGGUUCAAGGGAUUCUUGUGCCUCAGCCUCCUGAGUAGCUAGGACUACAGGUGCACACUACCAUGCUCAGUUAAAUUUUUGUAUUUAGAGGCCGGGCGCGGUGGCUCACACCUGUAAUCCCAGCACUUUGGGAGGCCGAGGUGGGCAGAACACGAGGUCAGGAGAUCGAGACCAUCCUGGCUAACACGGUGAAACUCCGUCUCUACUAAAACACAAAAAAUUAGCCGGGCGUGGUGGUGGGCGCCUGUGGUCCCAGCUACUUGGGAGGCUGAGGCAGGAGAAUGCUGCGAACCUGGGAGGCUGAGUUUGCAGUGAGCAGGGAUUGCGCCACUGCACUCCAGCCUGGGUGACAGAGCAAGACUCCGUCUCAAAAAAAAAAAAAAAUUGUUUUGUAUUUAGAGUACAUUGUGUUUGAGUAUUUUGAUGAGCCCAGGUUACCACAUUCUCAUUGCUUGGUUAGUUUCCAAGCUGGCAUCCUGCUUCCCUCUCUGGUCCUUCCCAAGCCAUCCUACCAAGGCAUGACUCAUGGCUUCCCAUUGCCAGGACCUUAAGGCCCCUUGAGCUUUCAGCCUUUCAGCCUCUUCUCCCAUCAUGACCUCAGGCAAGUCUUUCUGCUCUAGCUGAACUAGGACUCUAAACAUACGGAACUCAUACCUGCCUCCUGCCUUGGCUAUUACUGAUCCUCCCCCUUGGAAGACCCUCUUCUUUUUUCUCUGCUUCAAGGACCAGUUUAAGUUUCACCAGCUCAUAGGGCCUGAUAUGGUUUGGCUCUUUGUUCCCACCCAAAUUUCAUUUUUUUUUUUUUUUUUUUUUUUUUUUUUUUGAGAUGAAGUCUUGCUCUGUUGCCCAGGCUGGAGUGCAGUGGCAUGAUCUCGGCUCAUCACAACCUUCGCCUCCGGGGUUCUAGCAAUUUUCCUGCCUCAGCCUCCCAAGUAGCUGGGACUACAGGCCCAGACUGCCACGCCUGGUUAAUUUCUUUUUUUUUUUUUUGUAUUUUAGUAGAGAUGGGGUUUCACCGUGUUGCCCAGGCUGGUCUCAGACUCCUGAGCUCAGGCAAUCCACCCACCUCGGCCUCCCAAAUUGCUAGGAUUACAGGCAUGAGCCACUGUACCCGGCCAUCCAAAUUUCAUCUUAUAGCUUCCAUGAGUCCCACAUGUUGUGGGAGGGACCCGGUGGGAGAUGACUGAAUUAUGGGGAUGGGUCUUUCCAGUGCUGUUCUCGUGAUAGUGAAUGGAUCUCAUGAGAUCUGAUGGUUUUUAAAAUGGGAGUUGCCCUGACAAGCUCCUUUUUUGCCUGCUGCCAUCCAUCUAAGAUGUGACUUGCUUCUCCUUGCCUUCCACCAUGAUUGUGAGGCCUUCUCAGCCAUGUGGAACUGUAAGUCCAGUAAACCUCUUUCUUUUGUAAAUUGCCCAGUCUUGGAUAUAUCUUUAUCAGUAGUGUGAAAGUGGACUAAUACAGGGCCCUUCUUCUUCUUUUUUUUUUUUUGAGAUGGAGUCUCGCUCUGUCGCCCAGGAUGGAGUGCAGUGGUGCUGAGAUGUGACAAUGUGCUAGCAGCCCUCGCUCCCUCUCAGCACCUCCUUGGCCUCGGCGUCCGCUCUGGCCACGCUUGAGGAGCCCUUCAGCCCGCUGCUGCACUCUGGGAGCCCCUCUCUGGGCUGGCCGAGGCCGGAGCCGGCUCUCUCUGCUUGUGGGGAGGUGUGAGGGAGAGGUGUGGGCAGGAA
rnacentral:lncRNA from 1 species